CCGGGUACCGGUGCUCCGGGCAGCCCCUGCGGGGAGAGGUUGCUGUGUUGUGUAAGGAGACGGCUCGUUCCCCUGGAUCGCUGUUGUCGGAGGUGGGGAGGCGGCCUUAUGCUUCAGUGAGGAGCGACCCGGUGGCUCAGUCGCUCUCCUUGCAACGGUCAGGCAGGAGCAGACCAGCGGCCUGGGUCAUGACAAGGUGCUAAUCUUCGCUGGGACAUAAUUGUCGCUCUCUGCCCAGGUUGAACUUCAGGGACCAGGAGGUCUUUAACACAGAGAACCAAAACCGUCUUUGGUGUGAAGUAGCAGCUGUGUAGCGGUUUUGAGGAGCUAAAUGCUUCUGAUCUCUGUCUAAACUCCUAAUAAAGCCCUGCUUUAGGAGGUUUAGGAUCUGUGUGUAAGGAUGCUGAAGUAAGCCUCAGUGCUAAUACCCUUGCUGGUGCUACAGCACAUGCAGCUUGCUCUGGAGCAUGCCUGCCAUUCACAGGUGGAACCAGGCCUGUUGAUCUGCAAGUUAGUGCACAACACGAAUACAAAACAGUGUGCUACCUCAGCUAAGAUACCCUGCCUGUCUGAAGAUAAUACUAUGAGGUUUUAGGACUUUGUGUUGUUUGCUUUCCCUCUGGCUCCAUGAAGCUUACUUUCUUGUCUGAUAGUGGCACAACUUCAAGAGGAGGAAUGCAGAGGCCACCUGACCUGUCUGUCCCUUCCCAAACCUACCUUGUAGAAUAAAUCACUGUCCUAGCAAGGGUCAGAUGUGAAUUUGAUCCUCUGUACGUGCAGGUGUAAAUAGAGUGGCUUCCAUGGACCUGCUGUGAGCAAUGCACUACAGCCUCAGCCUGUGGACUGCAAGUUGGCAUCUGGCAGUCUGCUAAAGCUCCCAAUCUGUUCUGCAUUGAGGGCCAAGCUUCAUGGAAAACCCUUAGUCUUCAUGCUUGUGUCUGCAUAUUGGCCAUUCUGUUAAAGACAUACUGGUAUUUUUGUAAAACAUAAUUUAAUGUGACUACAAGAUACAAAAAAAGUUUGUAAGAUCCUAAACAUCCAUUGUUGGCACCAAAAGCAUUUUGGAUAUUGAAUUUUUUUUCAAUUCUUAUUAUAUAUUCUCCCACCUUCUGGAAAACCUGAGUAUUGUUUUAACUGCCUUUUCCAUUAAAAUGUCCCUUUAAUUGUCUGGAAAUGUAUCUUAAAUUUGAUUCUGUUCCAAACACUUGUUCAGCAAAACUGAUGAUGACCUAUUUCUGAACCAGAGUUUAUUACAAGAAAAACAUAAAUGAACCCUCUGUGGAAUUUUCCAAGAUUUUUGGAGAGGAAGUGCAGUAUCCUCUUUGUGGCACAACAUGGACAGAUAUUCGAGUCCCAGUUUUGCUACUAACUUUCCUGUGUAACUUUGGACAAGUUGCUAAAUCUCUGCUGCCUGUUUUCUUGCUUUGUAAAAGAAGCUAAUAUUAACUUGCCACCCACAAUCUGACAAGUCUGAGAGAAUGUUUGCAAAGUACUCUGAGAAGGUCAGGUGGAAAAUGUUAUGGAAGUCCAAGCCUCUGCUAGCCAAAGAGGAUAUUUACAAUAGCUUCCUAUUUUAUGUAGUGAAAUAAAAAUGUUAUAGUGUAUAACCAGAUGAAACCAAGACUGAUCUAAAGUUAAAUGCAGGAGGCAUUUUUUGACCUUUCAACAGAAAUUAUAUAAGCACUGUUAGGUUAUAAAUAGUCUUUUGUUUUCCUACUCUUUGUCUAACACUCAAACACAGGGUUAGUUGUUUGUUAUGAAGAGAUAGGGCAAUGUUUUAGAGUGGAAACAAUUGUUCACUGUUCUUACUCAUACAGUCCCUAUAAUGUUUGUAACUAGCAUUUGCUGCUUUUCUUAGCACUUUUUAUCUUCAAAAUGCUACAGAAACAAACUUUCUAGGCCUGAAAAUGACAACAUGGAGAGAAAAACAAAACACUCACUAGCCCAUUCCAAAUGUGAAAGUUUCUUCUUUCCUGGUUUGAUACAAGUCUGAAGAGCAAAAAAGCCAGUGCUUAACUAUGAUUCAACUGGCACAUAAACACUUGUGCAUUGUUUCUUAUUUUUAUUAUGAAUCCUCAGCAAUAAGUCAUGAAAUGUGUCCACUCUUAAAGUAUUUUUAUUAGCACUAAGGAUAAUGAUACUGAAUUCUUCACAGAAUUAUGUAUGUGUGCAUAUUUCCAAGUAUGCUUAUUUUCAACAUUUGUCAUUUCCUUGAACAGACAAUAAAUGGUUAACUAAUAGCAAUUUAAUUUUAUUUUUU